AUACUUACCUGGAAGGGGAGAUAUUAGGAUCAUGAAGGUGGUUUUCCCAGAGUGAGGCUUAUCCAUUGCACUCCAUAUGUGCUGACCCCUGUAAUUUCCCCAACUGUGGGAAACUUGACUGCAUAAUUUGUGGUAGUGGGAGACUAUUUGCACUCUGC
ensembl:snRNA U1 U1 spliceosomal RNA